rnacentral:misc_RNA from 1 species
UCCUCUGCUAUCUGCACCCA